rnacentral:lncRNA from 1 species
UGACAAAUCUAAACUGCACUUCUGAAGACUAUGUGUAUGGACUGGCAGCCACCAUGCUGUGAGGAGAUUUUCCCUGGACUGAACAGUGACAUGAUCCAUGAGUGGCUAAGCAAGGCUAAAGCCUUAGCAAGUCUAACUGCUGAGAUUUACCAUUUGAGUGGCCAUAUUCUGGUGAUGAUAGAUGUGACUAAGUGUCCAUUUCCGAGGAAAAUGCAGAGUUGUCCCAAGUGAACUGAGAUCCUCGAUCUGAAAAUGACACAGCUGGAGACACUGUGCUUGCUGAAAGGUUUUCCUGCAUUCUCUGCAAUGGCAACAUCACAGCAGCUGAGUUGUGUCCACAGAGCUCAGUGGAUUUACCUUGGCUUGCACCAGAGCACGUCUCCUGCAGGAGGUGCCUGCUGCUGUUCUUUGGCUCUGGUGGGAGUGCAGGUGAAGUGUGAUGCAGAGAAGUAUUCUGGGGAGAACAUACACCUGAAAGAAUUAAACUAAAAGAGAAAAAAACCUGCUGUUACAUUUUCCUGGCCUCCUCUUGCAUGGAACUGGGCAUGUUUCUACAGCCAGGAGCCUUUCCUCCAGCAGGCUGGUGUGCCCUUUGGAAAAGGCUUUCUUCCCUGAAACACGAUUGCUGGCUGAAAAGAGGCAGGGGGCUUCUGAAUUGCUUUCUCUGAACUCGAGAGAAAGUCAAAGUCAUUGCACUGACUUUUCCCCAUUGAGUGGUCAGAGUGGGGGCAAGCAGCAUGUGAAGGGGAAGCAGAAAGGAUGUUACCAACAGGGAAAGGUCUUUGUUCUGAAAAUUGAGUUUGAAGAUAGGAAGGACAAUCUCCUCUUCAUUUCCUGAUCCCCAGAGAACUGUGGAAACCCCUGAUUGUUUCUAACGGGCUGGGAAUGCUGGCCCUGCUUUCCAUGCUGUUUUGCAUUACAGAUAUUUCUGUGGAAAUAAAGAAGAUUCUUCUGAUAAAAACUCA